rnacentral:tRNA from 1 species
GGCGGGGUGCCCGAGUGGUUGAAAGGGGCGGUCUUGAAAACCGUUGGGCGCCGUGAGGCGUCUCGUGGGUUCGAAUCCCACUCCCGCCG